rnacentral:rRNA from 1 species
AGCGAACGCUGGCGGCAGGCCUAACACAUGCAAGUCGAACGGACCUUUCGGGGUUAGUGGCGGACGGGUGAGUAACACGUGGGAACGUGCCUUUAGGUUCGGAAUAAGCUCGGGAAACUGGGUCUAAUACCGAAUGUGCCCUUCGGGGGAAAGAUUUAUCGCCUUUAGAGCGGCCCGCGUCUGAUUAGCUAGUUGGUGGUGUAAUGGACCACCAAGGCGACGAUCAGUAGCUGGUCUGAGAGGAUGAUCAGCCACACUGGGAUUGAGAUACGGCCCAGACUCCUACGGGAGGCAGCAGUAAGGAAUAUUGGACAAUGGGGGAAACCCUGAUCCAGCAAUGCCGCGUGAAUGAAGAAGGCCUCGGUUGUAAGUUCUUUCGCUUACGAUGAUAAUGACAGUAGUAAGAUAAGAAGGUCCGGCUAACUCUGUG